CAACACCACGGUCUGCCUGGGCAAAAUCGGCUCCUACCUCAGUGCUAGCGUGAGUGUCCUGCACAACUGCUGGAGCCUGGUCCCUGUCGCAGGACCACAGCCUCCUCCAGGGCCAGGAGUCUUGUGUGUGGGGGCCUUCAUUCUCCCAGAGACGUAGGCCCUGCACACUGUUGGCCCCAUAUCUGGGUUCCCAGAGGUGGAAUGAGUUGGCCGAGGUCACACAGCCAGGAGGGAUCUGGGAUCUGAAUCCAGGUCUGCUUGGCCCCAUGGCCUGUGUGCAUCCCCUCAGCCAGGGUUUGUAAGUUCAGUUGCUUGCCGUGCCCAGACAGUUAACAGGAAUGAACGGUCAGCUGGGCAGGGAGGAAGGGAGCCUGUGUCCGAGCCCUGGGGACAGCUGCUGUUGUGGUCCCAUGCCCUGAGGCAGUGUGGAGCCCAGUGAUUUGGGAAGAGAAGCCCAGGUCCAGAGUUUUAGGUAAACUCUCCCCAUUUAAGUGAUUCAUUCACAUUUUUCAGAUUCUGGGGGCCUAUGGGUGGCCCCAUUCUGGGAAGUAAGGGCUGGUGGUUCUGGGUCCCAACAUUGACCGUACACUCAGGAGCCCUCUUUCCUGCCCCAUUGUAGACCAGACACAGGGUCCUUACCUCUGCCUUCAGCCGAGCCACUAAGGACCCGUUUGCACCAUCCCGGGUUGCGGGUGUCCUGGGCUUUGCUGCCACCCACAACCUCUACUCAAUGAACGACUGUGCCCACAAGAUCCUGCCUGUGCUCUGCGGUCUCACUGUAGAUCCUGAGAAAUCUGUGCGAGACCAGGCCUUCAAGGCCAUUCGGAGCUUCCUGUCCAAAUUGGAGUCUGUGUCGGAGGACCCGACCCAGCUGGAGGAAGUGGGUGAGUGGCCUACACUCGUGUUCCCUCUUUCCCUGCCAUGUCCUUGACUGUGACCUGUGUCCCACC
rnacentral:sRNA from 1 species